UUUGAGGUGAUUGCAGACGCUGCCCACUCAGGUUCCCGUAGCAGCUGCAGCAAUUCAAAACAGGAAGUCGCUCUCUGUUGUUCGGCGGGGACCGGAAAAGCUAAACCAAAACAAGCCGUAUUGCGUUACUGUCGCGCAGCAGAGCUUUUACAAAGUGUACAACAAGAUGAAAGACAAAUAAAACACACGACAGAGAGAGAGAGAUUCGUCGUAAGAAACCGAUUUAUUUGACGAGCUCGGCGAGACGUUUAUUUAGAAGGUAGAACGGCUGACAGAUCCGCUGCUGAAGCGCCUUACGGUGUCUGGUGGACAGAGACAGAGCUACGAUUUGAAGAGUUUGUUUGACCCGCCUACCUAAGUAGCGUCAUUCAAUCAAUCGCUCACUCAUCUCAUUCAUAAAAACUGCACAGGAAGAAAAUAGGCAUAUAUUUAAAAAUGUAUUUUUAUUGACAAUAUGACUAUAUAUAUAUAUAUAUAAAAUAUUUAAUCAAAUAUAUGACUAAUUUAUUUAUAACAAAUUAUUAAAAUCUAGAUAUGUAUUAUGUACUUGACUUACUCUGUCACUCCGCUGAGUACAUUCUCCAACUGCUUGUCAUAAACACUGAAUCAGCUAAUCAUUCAUGUACCACCCAGUAACUGCAUCAAUCUCUCUGAUUGGACUGUUCAAUACAACUAAUUAUUAUUAUUAAUAAUAAUAAUAAUAAUAAUAAUAAUAAUAAUAAUAACAACAACAAUAAUUCUGGCCUUUGUAUACACAAGUGUCAAUGGGGUUUCUCAUGUGAAUUUUUCUUCUGAUGUGUGACGCAGGUAUUUCGAUUCCUGUCCGGCUGUUGCCGAUGGUACAACGCUAGGUCAGUGGGGUUUCUCAUGUUAUUUCUUUGUUCAAAAGGUCUGCCUGUCACUCGGAACAGAGAAACAAAGCCCGAAAUAAGUUAUUUAAAUUUUUAUUUCGGGCUUUGCGAGUGACAUUCGGGAACCAAAAAGAUUUUAAACAAAUAAGUGAUUUAUUUUAUUUAUUUAUUUUUUUUUUGAUAAGAUGCUCUGGUAAACCUCAUUUUUGCUGUUCAAUCUUUUUCAAGUUACUGUUUUUGUAAUGGUAAAGCCACAAAAUUGGACAGGUGUUUCAGCAUAAAACAUAGAAUAUUUACUAACUGCGGAAUGCUGUACAGUACCAGUAAUUCCAACAUGCAGCUUAUUAAAGGGAAGUGCUAAACAAACAAUAACAUGUACAAAAAUGUAAUAAUAUGACUUGCUUAUUGAUAGAUAGAUAUAUUGACAUAUGUAUGUUAACAGUAAAAUAGUCCGUGCUCGGAUUUGUUUUAAAUGUAGUGUUGGAUUCUAAAGAAUGUUUCUCACGUUUUGUCAUCAGACUGCUGAGCUCAGUUAUCACAGCAAAACCAGCUGCUAUGAGACUUUUGGAAAGUAAACGCUCACUCUAGCAGGUCAAUGAUUGGUGCUGAUACGUUGAAACAAUAAGCACCCGCCUUCACAUGGCAAUGCUUAGGGCUAAUUGGAUGAAACACUGAGGGGCUUGUUUACAAAAGUGCAUGUAAAGUAGUGAGCCUAACGUGUGGGAUAAAUCUAAAUUUACUGCCCUAUUUACUAACGGAGAACACAUUCAUUUAUACGCACAGUAUUUGGCUUGCACUGAAUUUAGUGCGAGCAAUAAUGCGCACCAUAAUGUCCCAGACUACACGUGACCACCUUCAUAUAAAAGCCCCAGCAGUCCAGGCGUAUUUUUUGGUAGCUUAUUGUGAAAGGUGGAGGUGGCUUACAUUGACCGAAAAUGAGCAAUCAAGACACAGCUAAAUGACAUACUUUAAAAUAAGUUAAUACUCUAAAGCAGGGGUGUCAAACAUACGGCUCGCUGGGGCAAUUUUUGGCGGCCCGCCAAUUAGUUUUUAAAAUUGAUGUACUGUAUCGUUUUGGAAUUCUUCUUUUAAAUAACCCGCCUCUUUAAUAUAACACGCGUAUUCAAUAUGUGCAGUCUGCAUUGUAUGACCAUUAAGCCAAUCACAGCUCACAGAGGAAGUAGAAUAGCCAAUCAAAUGGCGCACAUGAUCUGUUUCCUCACACACGUGUAACAGCACAGCACACAUAGUUUUGACUAGGAUAGCGAAGCGAAGGCUUGUUUAAACUAUUUAUUUUACUUUGUGUAAAAUAUAAAAUCAGUAGCCAAACAGAGUAAUUGGAGAUGUCACAGAAGCGAAAGGUGGAGGCGGAACGCAGAAGAUUCGAAAAUUGUUAGCCAGAUUAUUAUUUCACUGAAUAAUUGACGGCAAGGCAAUAUGUCUGAUUUGCAGUGCAAUGGUUGCAGUUAUGAAAGACGGAUUAAAACAUCCAACGUCACUAUGAUACGCAGCGCAAAGGUUUUUCUGAAAAUUAGAAGAAAAAAUGAAAGUGCUGUGGAUGCCAGUUUUAUUGUUAGCAAAGAGAUUGCAUGGGCUGCAACAUUUUUCACAUGGUGAAUUUGUUAAAAGGUGCAUGCUUAAAACAGUUGAUGUCCUAUGCCCUGAAAAAAGUGAAAAUUGUUUCUAACGUCAGUCUGCCUCGUAACACGGUUGCUGAGCGUAUUGCCGAAAUGGCAGGUAAUAACUUUAAUGUUGUUGAAGAGCUUUGAAGUUUCAGCAUGAACAACACAACCACAGGAAAGGAAACUUUUUAACUUCAAGAAGCCAUGGAAAGUGCAGAAUUACUUUGGAAGAAACUAACUGGGAUUACAGCACAGGGUGCGCCAUGUAUGACUGGGCCAAAGAGUGGACUGGCUAGCAGAGGACUGGAAAAAAAUAAAGAAAGAAAUGCAGAAGUACCAAUUGUCUUACACUGCAUUCUGCAUCAACAGGCAUUAUGUGAAAAAGUUGUAGAAUUAGAACAAUAAUGAGCAUUAUCAAGUGUGCGAGAAAAGAACUGCCUGGACAGAAGGCAUAAAAAGGUACAUUUCAUAGUGGUACGGUUUACUAAAUCGCAUUUUCACAGCUUGCCAGUAUCUUUUUUUUUUUUUCCGUGCUGUUAAAAACGUUUUGGAAUAUGUUAAAUAUUGAGACUUGGCAUUAUAUACUGACAGUUUUUUUUUACUGUUUGAGAUUUCCAUUGAAAGUAAAAUACUCUUCUAUUUCCUCCAUUAUAUUACAUUUGUGAUACUGAGUUGUUUUUUUUUGGUCAGCAUUCUAAGAAAGCUACUUCUAGUUAUAUCUGACUAUUUAUGUAGUAUAAAAUACAUUAAGUAAUAUGUUGAUUUAAUUGAUUGAAACCUGCAUACUUAUAAUGACUAGGAAUUGUGCAGUGGGGGUAAUGUGUUUUGUGUAAAUAAUAUAUUUGAGUAUAUACAAUUUCUAUAUGCAUUUUCAGGUAUAUUAUGAUGUGUAAUUUUAUUUAUUUAUUUAUUUAUUUAUUUAUUUAUUUAUGGUGUGGCCCACCAAGUGAACAGUCUUAAUAUAAAUGCCCAUGCUGCCAGAUGAGUUUGACACCCCUGACAUAGACUUUUUCCUUUUUAAAUAAUAAUAAUAAUAAUAAACUUUAUUUUGUAUAGUGCCGUUAAAAGCAAUCAUGUCAGAGCGCUUUACAAUUUAUAGUACAGAAUUAAACACAUUUUCAUAACCAGAGUAAUUUGCAAGAUGUAUUUAUUUCGCGUUAGUGAAUCUCUGAAUCAAACGAACAAGUAAACUGAAUGAACCAAACUAAUCGAGCCAGUAAAAAGAAUCAAACUGCACAUCACUAGUUUUCAGCCCAGUAAAAGAGGUUUAAAUAAAGUUCUUAUAUUCUAACAUCCCCUUUCUGCCACGAAAAAAAAAAUGGUUUAAAGUUUUCGGUAUAAUACUGCUGUGCUUUUUCAGCCGAGAUACACUGUGAAGCCUAAUAAUCUCGCAGAAAUAGCAAAACUGUAAAACUUUUUUUUUUUAACAGCGUUACAUACAGUUCACCUUUAACACAGCGCACAGAAAAUAUUCCUUAAUGUAAGGCCGACCGAACAAACUAUAACAAGCUGAGCAUUUUUAAUGUUUCAUGCGAUGCUGCAGAUUCACUUUGUUUAAAAGAAAAAAAAAGUCAAAUAAUUAAGUAAUUAUGCUGUUAAUUUAAAUAAACUAUCAGAUUUUUUUUACAAAAAAAAAUGCGUACAGAUGUGUUGGUCAAAAAAUCCAGUAUGUGGGGAAAUUACACCACAGUCACCACACUGGUAUUGUCCCGCCACUAUUUUGAAACACACACAGAGUAAGCUCCUCAGAGUGUUAGCUAACGUUACGAAGUGCUCUCGGCGUGCAGGUUGUUCAAUAGAAAGCGCCACGUAACGCUCUGGAGCGCUCUGCCUGUUGAACGCACCCCUGCUUUCCAUACGCACUAUUCAUCGCUCACUUUAAGGUGCACACUACAAUUAUCGUCCUUUUGUAAAUGCGGUGUUAAUUAUUCAGAGUGGGGUGCCUCAUUUAAACACAUUAUCAUGCAUUACCAUACAAAUCACAGAUUCAUUCCAGUUACCAUAGUGUGGCACAAUAAAAUGAGUGCACCAUAAUAUGACCACUAUUUCGUGCGAUAAUGAAUAAAAUUGUAAUAGUAAAUAAGACAAUCGUGAACGUGCACACUCAUUUCAAUUAUCAUGCACCAUAAAGUUUAGCGCCCUUUCGUGAAUGAGGCUCUAAAUGCCAGCCCUCACACAGCAAUGCUAAUUGUUUGAAACGGCUGAUUCAUGACAAUGUUACAGGCAGUGCAGAUCAGCCAUACAGUCCUCAUACAUUAACAGUUGUGAGUUUAAACUUCUUGUGAUAAAACUUGAUGUGUCAAUGUGUCCCACGGUCCCCCCCCCGUUUAUAACGCUGUUCGGUUAUAACACUCAUUAUGUGUCCGCUGAGACCUGUGUUACAGCGAGGGAGCACUCUACCUAAAUAUUUAUUAUUAAACGAAUGUGAGUUUUUAAAUUAUUAGUAAGCACAGACGUUUUGAUAUGAAAGUUGAACAUUAAUAUCAGCAAAGAACAACUAAGUUACAAGUUUUUAAUGAAAAAAAAUAAUUAUAGCCAACUUUCACAAAAAAAAAUCAGGCUUAUGUGAUUUUGAAAUGCCAAUUUUUGGUGGGAAUUGAACUUGUUCAUGGCCCCACAGCAACAUUAACCAAUUUUUUAUUCUAAAACCCAACAUUUAAUUAACGUUCUGAUACUCUCUCUUUCUUAUCUAUUUUCUUUUAAUAGUCUUAUACUCUCCCUUCAGAUAUUUUUGCAAGUAAUACAUACAAAACAUAUGCCUAUAUUUAGGUAUUAAUAUUUCGUGCAAUCGUCUCUCCUGACCGCGUGUCGAGUUCACAUUCACUUAACGUUUUUUCCUGCUGUCGGCUAACAUUAGCCACGGUGCAGACCUUGGGUUAAACCACUAUGUUCGUGUAGGGAGAGUUUAUUGUGAUUGUUUAUAAAUGUGGCCCAUCCUCGGAAUACUUUUCCAUUUUUAGAUUUUAUUUUAAACCUUGUAAAGACAAACAGGUGCCAAACACAACAAGUUAUAAUACAUAUAUAAUGAAUGAAAAAAGUGGAGGGGAAAAAUAUAGUUUGACCCCCCCCACCAUAUUCAAAGUUGGGGGGGCACGUCCCCUGACCCAUGGGUUAGGCGCUUAUGGACAGGAUUGAUGCCAAAAGGGGUCAUCGGCCACUAUCCAGCGGUGCAGGAGUAAUAAACAGUGGAGGAGGUGGAGAUGAUGUGUGGCCAGGAUAGUUUGGAAGGUAAGUUAAUCUUAAAUUGGAAACAAUGUAAAAAAAAAAUCAAUAAUUUGUAAAUAGCAACACACAAAAAAAUCAAUAAUUUGUAAAUAGCAACACACCACUCAUCGUUUGGAGAUGUUAUCACGCUAUUCUCUCGUAUCAAAACACUAACAGAAUGUAUUCAUUGUGAAGCUGGGGAGUUGGGGUACAAGUGGUCCCCUUAUUUUAUAUAUCGCAAAUGAGUACCUAGCAAGGGUGUGGAAGUAUUGGAAGAAAAUCUAAUAUGAACUAGUGCUGUUAUUGCUAUUAGUAAUAACAUUAAAGUAAACUGUUAGUUUGAAAUAAAAAUUAGACAACGGUUAAUGGAGAUUUUGGGGCUUUAAUGGCCUCUACGAGUAUUAACCUGGCUUACAAUGUUAAAUUCAAAGAAGGUUGUACGUUUAUGAUCACAUGCUUUUGGAGAGGAACAGCAUUACACUUUCUUUCCUCUUUUCCUCUGUUUAGCUUCUUCGGAGAAUGAGAAGGCUUUCCGGUGCUGUCCACAAGUGUCGUGUUUCUCUGUUUCUCCCUCACCGGACAUCAUUCUCAUCAUUAAACACCAAGCACAUGAAUACCAAGGAAGAGAAGGCCAGGUAAAGAUAUGGCAUAUUUAAAGGAAAGCGUCUGCAAGUGUAUUCAUUGACAAGAAAGCAUGAUUGAAAUGGAGAGAGAAAGAGAGGAAUGAUGGGAGGAACAGAGGAGGAGGGAAAGAGAGGAACGGAGGAGCGAGAUAAGCCACCGGACCUUUCAAUGGAAUGUUCUGCAGUGUUUUACGACAACUUGCAGCUGCUGUCAGUAACAGAAAAAAAAUUAUUGAUGUUCAAUUAUUGUAUGAAUUAUUUUCACACGUGGCAGACAUUACAACCAGAGAGGUUUCGCUCGGUGAAGACUACAUAGAUAACCAAAUGUAUGUUUGCAUACAGGUAUAUUUGUUGGUGCUGUUUUAAAGAAAAUAAAGUUCUCUCAUUUAUUAAAACUCGGUAAAACACCAAUUUGUUCACAUACCAUUUUGUGCAUUAAACUAAAAAAACACCACUUUUUUCACAUGUGGUAGACAUUAACACAAGUACUAAUGUAUAGACACUGUAUAUAGUUAUCUAAAAGUUUGUACAUAGUAUUACGUUUUUGUUGCUAUUUAAAGAAACAAAAGCUGAAAAGUUCUGUUCAAUAUAUUACAAAGCAAUAAAACAGCAGUUUAGUCACAACAUUUUGUGUGUUCUGAAUGGUUUUGUUUCAGGAUACUGAAAUAGAAACAUCUACAACAGUGUACACAUGUAUUAGAACACCCCAUUGCUUCUGUAUUUUACUGGACUCGAUGCUUGACAAAAUUAACAACUGUACAAAAGAAAGUCUGGAUACAACUUCAAGAAAUAUGGAAGCAAAUGGCACCGGAGAUUUUGAGAAAGUACAGACACCAUGCCAAAAAGAUACCAAGCUGCUAUUGAUGCCAAAGGAGGGGCAUACUAAAUAUUAGCAUUGAAGACACUUUCAGAUAUAGCUCUGUUUUUAGGUUUGAAUUUGCUUCAUGUUUGCAAAAAUGAUUAACUGAUUUCUGUAGUAAAUGAAUACAUUUUGCGUGCAAAGCUCAAUAAAUGACAGAUCUUGGGGUGUUCUAAUACAUUUGCACACUACUGUACUCUGAGGGAGAAAAACAUUUUCUUAUUUUCUGAGGUGUUCCAAUUUGUGUUUCAGCAACAGCAUAUGGAGGAGCAUUUAGAGUAAGAAGUGUUCUGAAAAUGAUAGCGUUACACAUCCCCACGUGUUGCUACAACUGUUUAAAUAACGUACCUGUCAUUUUUCUUUUAAUUGUUGACAUCCUGACACAUUCUUACACUUAAGUCUGUUUCAAAGCUCUUUUCAAAUUGUCCGCUCUAGUGCACUGAUAGUAUCAGGAUUAUUGCCCACAUUGUCAAACAGGUAACUGCAAUAAUGUGGUACGGAACAGAAAAGCCAGAACACUGGAGCUCUUAAUGCAGUAAUUUAGAGACAGAUCUCAACCCCCAGUGCACUAGAGCGGACAUUUUGAAAAGAGCUUUGAAACGGACAUUAAAGUUACAAGGGUAAAAUGUUAUCCAGAUAUUAACAACGAAAAGAAAAAUUGCAGGGACAUUAUUUAAACAGUUGAAGCAACACGUGGGGGGCGUGUAAUGCUAUAUUUUUAUAUUAUUCUUUAAAGACUGGCAGCCACAGUUCAAAUAAUCUUUCAUUGCAUUGUUCAGACAUGAAUAAUGCAGCAUGUCAUGAUCGUUGUUGAAAGAAAAAUAACAAGUUUAAUAUAUAACAAGUAAAUAAAAGAGUUGGUAAAUAACGGCACUGUGUUUACUUCUACACCACUGACAAAGGGCUUUUGUCCGAAACGUCCUGAAAUAAAUGAUUUUUUCAAUCAUUUAAACCUUUUGUGGUUUUUCAGAAUGGUUGAUAAAAUGUCUGCGGGGAAUGUUAAAAUCUGCAGCAACAUCUUUAUUGUAUUCACCACUUUCAACACUUCCACUGUUUGCAAGGAUAAUGCACGUUUUUGCAAUGCUUCAAUGGAAAUGGCAUUGAUGACUCAAAAUGCAUCAUAGGAUCAGUAGUCCCAAAACAGCACUAAAAUACAGAACAGAGGUGCUAAUCUGGAUGCUAGUUAUUACAUUUCCCAAUAUCCUUUACACUGUUUGAACUAGGGUGAUUAGUUUUAUUUGGUAUUUUCUUUCCUGGGUUGAGGAGGAAGGCUCCAAAAUAAUUAGCAGACAGAGGACAUUUGUGUGAAGUGAAUUUGUAUUAUAAGAAUUACAAAGUAAUUUACAAUAAGCUACUGCUAAGUCUGUCCAGGACCAUGAAGAAAAUGUACAAUAUCAGGAAA